UUAAAUCAAAUUUUUAAUAUUAAUAAAUAAUAUAAAAUUAAAAUAAUCUGCCUACGCAUCCCCAUCGGCCCAUCCCACACUACCUCACCAAAUAUCACUUAGAAACUGUAAUUAUUUCAUAUCUAUCCUCUCUCUCAUCUCAUUCUCUCUCUCCCAUGUGGAAAACGCCACUGAAAAAUCAUCGUUGGAAGAGGGAGACGCUGCCGGAAGACGUCGUCGAGCACCAUGGGCGAAGUCGCUGCAGCUAUUGCUCUGUGCACCGGUCUCCACUACAGCCGCAUUACAGCGCUACAGUCGAUCGACGCCUCACUGGCCUGAUUUUGUGAAGCUGUAAAAUAAAUUUCGGUUUUGGUUUUGUAAAGCUGUAAAAGAAAUUAAGUUCCUUGAUUUUAAAAACGUUGUUAACCCUGCCAAAUUGCAUCCCUAAGGCUAGAAGUGCAGAACAGCAGCUAGCUUGAAAGUUGAAACCACCGUGAACAACUUUUGAGAGCAUUUGGUCGUAUCUCGUGUGCUUGGUAUAAUUUUUGCAUCGAGCACUGCAGCCUGUAGGCGCUCCAAGUUUUGUUGUCAUUUGUCAACAGAUUUAUCUGGUAGGUAGAAUGGAGUUGGCGUGAUUGUGAUGAAAGAAUUGGUGACGUUGCAGUGUCAAUGAUAGCGGUGAUAAUUGUGUUUGGAAAAUGGUUGUUUCACUGGUUUGCUUAUUUUCAGCUUGCUGAUGCGGCAUUUUGCAUUUUGGUUGGGGUGGGAUUGGGGGUGGAAUGGUGUGAAGAGUGUCUCGUUGAGAAUAUUUUAAUAUAUAAAAAAGAACAUAUUUAUUAUUAUUAUUAUUAUUAUUAUUAUUAUUAUUAUUAUUAUUAUUAUUAUUAUUAUUAAAAUUGAUAAUCAUGAUCAAUAAAUGAUGUGACUUGAAAAAUGUGAAAUUGUGACUCGCAAUUUAUUAAGCUGUGGUCAAAUUAUUUGAUAAUUUGUGAUCGAAAAAUAAUUUUAACCAAUUAGUUUGAUAAUCUGUAAUCGUGAAAUAAGUUGUGACCUAUAAAAUUUGUGACUUAUGACUCAAAAGUAACACGUUGCCUAUUAAUUUGAUCAUUCGUGAUCGGUUAAGAAAUUGUGACCUGUAAAAUUUGUAAUUUGUGACGACUUAUUUCAAGAUUUUUCUUUCCUCAUUUUAAUGCACUCUACAUUCUCUUAUUUCCAAAUUAACUAAGCACUCAAACUAUCCCCUUUUAAUUAAUUCAAAAAACACAAAUCUUACAAAAUUUGUGGUUCGAACAUCAAUAUUUCAAAAUAAUGAUGAUGAUGAUGAUGAUGAUGAUGAUGAUGAUGAUAAUAAUAAUAAUAAUAAAUGUGUUCUUUUUUAUAUAUUAAAAUAUACUUAAUCAUAUAGGGUCACAUUAAUAUAUAAACAGUCACGACCACCAACACCACCAUUGAUACCACCACUCCCCCACCACCACCUCCAACCCAUCAUUCCAUCAUUUGCACCUGCACUUAAUGGCUCAGAAAGAGGCACAAUCACAAGAUGUGACUAUCUGUGACCAAAUAUAUCUUCAAUGUAACUGUUUGUGACCAAAUUUGUUUUUAGUGUUGCUAUUUGUGGCCAAGUCAAUCUUAACUGUGAUCAGGUCACAAUUAACACAUAGUGAUCUCAACCAAUCACAAUUAA
rnacentral:lncRNA from 1 species